AGAGUUUGAUCAUGGCUCAGGAUGAACGCUAGCUACAGGCUUAACACAUGCAAGUCGAGGGGCAGCAUGGUCUUAGCUUUGCUAAGGCCGAUGGCGACCGGCGCACGGGUGAGUAACGCGUAUCCAACCUGCCUUACACUCUUGGACAGCCUUCUGAAAGGGAGAUUAAUACAAGAUGUUAUCAUGAGUAAGCAUUUUUCGCAUGAUUAAAGGUUUACCGGUGUAAGAUGGGGAUGCGUUCCAUUAGAUAGUAGGGCGGGGUAACGGCCCACCUAGUCUUCGAUGGAUAGGGGUUCUGAGAGGAACGGUCCCCCACAUUGGAACUGAGACACGGUCCAAACUCCUACGGGAGGCGGCA
rnacentral:rRNA from 1 species